AUGUAUGAGGCCGCCCAUGCGGCGCACGCGCCUUUUUUCUAUCGGCGCACCGACCGACAGUCGGCGCCGUUUUUUGUUUUUUCUUGGGUUUUCCAAGAAUAGUCUUGCCAACAUCUUGCAUCGCACGCACAAGAGCACACAGAGAAGGAAAAAGUGAAGAAAAAAACGACACCGAGGGGCGGCCUAAAAGGGGCGGCUACCGCGCGGAGCCAAAUCGAGCCGCACCAUCUGCGGGUAGCGGGCCGGCGCGGCGACACCCGACGGCGGCGGCGUAACAGAGGCGACGGGGCGACGGGCCUGCAUGCUGCCGCCGGCGAGGGCCGCCAGCGUGCCGGGCGACUCGCCCAUGAGCAC
rnacentral:lncRNA from 1 species